ACCCGACCCGAGGGACGGGUCGGUUUCUGUAGUGAUGGGGUGACCCAAGGGUGACCCAUCUAUCUGCCUCUUUAAAACGGCCAGGAGCGUCCACCAUAAGGCAGUUCAACGGAACUUAGCAGAAGAAAAACCUCACCAUGUCGAAGUGGCUUCCUCUAGCUUCACUCCUGCUGCUGCUCCUCCUCGUAUGGACGGAGACAGUGGCUCCAGCCCAAGUGGAUCUCGACAGAGUGGCCGCCAUGGAAGAGAUAGAAAGACAAGGUGCAGCAGGAAACGCCACCGUGCUGAACUGGCUUAACUGGAUUAACACCGGGCUUAACAUCCUUGAUGUUAAAUCUUGUGAUGACAGGGGUUGUUCGGCUCGUGGUGGAACGUGUGGAUACGUCAACUAUUUGAAAAAAUGCUCAUUGAAGACCAUGACUUUGUGCUCUGGAUUAUGCACCUGCUGCGUCCCAUAAGCUCCCGCGGGAGACGGCCGGGCCAGCAUCCACAACUUUUCGAGGACGACGAAUUUGGACUAACGAACGGACGACUCCAUUUCGGGGACACUCAGAAGUCGUAUUGAGGCACAGUUUGCUCAACAAAAACUGUCCUCGAAGGACGAAAACACUCGAAGCUAUUUCCUGAAGAGCGACUUCUUGAGUUACCUCAGUGGCAGAAAAUGAAAUUAGUAACACACUAAAUUUCAUUUUGGCACCGCUUGUAAAACCAAAAAGGCAGUCACUAGAUCAUUUGUGACUGAGAGGGAGAGUUGGAAUUGCUUCGGAAGAAUCUGAAGACAAUGAUUCACAACGAACUGUUGUCAAGACCAGGAAGUGUUUUUGAGUGUUCCCCCAAAGUACAUAAAACUUUACUACCAUUAUAUUUUUUCGUUUUUUGUUUUUUGUUUGUUUGUUUACUGCUGUCUUUAUCAACAUUGCAUUAGUUCCUUACACAAAGGCAAUUCUGCCCACAGAAUCCAAUCAUUGUAUUGACAGUAGUCGACAAAUCUGUGAGAACCCGGCUACAGCAAUUUCCCCUUGAAUCUGAAAAUUUAACGACUUUUUGCUUGUGACAAAAUGGAAGAUUUUCUGGGGAGGGAACCGGUUGGAGAUGGAAGCCGAUUCCAUGGAAUUGGUUGUCCUACAUUUCACUGGUCUUCAAACACGGUUGCUGUUCGAUUUCAUCAGAUUUUGCACAAAUUAGAGCACCGCUCUGUGUGUGUGUGUGUGAGUGUGUAUGCUGUUUUAGGGGGAUUAGUUGCUGAUCACUGUACAACACUAAAAGGCAAUAAAAACAGAAGCUUU